rnacentral:tRNA from 1 species
AGGGAUAGAGUUAGUGGUUGAGUACAUGCUUAGUAUGCAUGAGGUCCUGGGUUCAAUCCCCAGUACCUCCA